rnacentral:rRNA from 1 species
GAUGAACGCUGGCGGCGUGCCUAAUACAUGCAAGUCGAGCGAACAGAUGAGGAGCUUGCUCCUCUGACGUUAGCGGCGGACGGGUGAGUAACACGUGGAUAACCUACCUAUAAGACUGGGAUAACUUCGGGAAACCGGAGCUAAUACCGGAUAAUAUAUUGAACCGCAUGGUUCAAUAGUGAAAGACGGUUUUGCUGUCACUUAUAGAUGGAUCCGCGCCGCAUUAGCUAGUUGGUAAGAUAACGGCUUACCAAGGCAACGAUGCGUAGCCGACCUGAGAGGGUGAUCGGCCACACUGGAACGGAGACACGGUCCAGACUCCUACGGGAGGCAGCAGUAGGGAAUCUUCCGCAAUGGGCGAAAGCCUGACGGAGCAACGCCGCGUGAGUGAUGAAGGUCUUCGGAUCGUAAAACUCUGUUAUUAGGGAAGAACAAAUGUGUAAGUAACUAUGCACGUCUUGACGGUACCUAAUCAGAAAGCCACGGCUAACUACGUG